AGAGUUUGAUCAUGGCUCAGAGCGAACGCUGGCGGCAGGCUUAACACAUGCAAGUCGAGCGGGCGUAGCAAUACGUCAGCGGCAGACGGGUGAGUAACGCGUGGGAACGUACCUUUUGGUUCGGAACAACACAGGGAAACUUGUGCUAAUACCGGAUAAGCCCUUACGGGGAAAGAUUUAUCGCCGAAAGAUCGGCCCGCGUCUGAUUAGCUAGUUGGUGAGGUAACGGCUCACCAAGGCGACGAUCAGUAGCUGGUCUGAGAGGAUGAUCAGCCACAUUGGGACUGAGACACGGCCCAAACUCCUACGGGAGGCAGCAGUGGGGAAUAUUGGACAAUGGGCGCAAGCCUGAUCCAGCCAUGCCGCGUGAGUGAUGAAGGCCCUAGGGUUGUAAAGCUCUUUUGUGCGGGAAGAUAAUGACGGUACCGCAAGAAUAAGCCCCGGCUAACUUCGUGCCAGCAGCCGCGGUAAUACGAAGGGGGCUAGCGUUGCUCGGAAUCACUGGGCGUAAAGGGUGCGUAGGCGGGUCUUUAAGUCAGGGGUGAAAUCCUGGAGCUCAACUCCAGAACUGCCUUUGAUACUGAGGAUCUUGAGUUCGGGAGAGGUGAGUGGAACUGCGAGUGUAGAGGUGAAAUUCGUAGAUAUUCGCAAGAACACCAGUGGCGAAGGCGGCUCACUGGCCCGAUACUGACGCUGAGGCACGAAAGCGUGGGGAGCAAACAGGAUUAGAUACCCCAGUAGUCC
rnacentral:rRNA from 1 species